rnacentral:lncRNA from 1 species
CUGGUUUUGGUAUCAGAGUAAUAUUGGCCACAUAGAAUGAGUUAGAAAGGGUUCUUUUUCCUCUAUUACUUAUAAAAACAUGUGAGGAUUUCUGUUCAUUCUUUUUGGUAAUGUUUGCUCAAAUUCAUCAGUGAAGCCAGCUGGACCUGGAUUUUUUUUUUGCAUUCCUCAAGAUGACAUCCAUUGCAACAGGUCAGAAUUCUUUAUGAGUGCUGCAUUAUGGCCCACUUCACGCUUAAGAACAAACAUGAGGAUUUCAGAGCUGAAUCAACGUUAGACUCUUAAAAAACAAUUGUAUCAUGUACGGGACAAAGACAAGACCAUCACGGAUAAAGACAGGAGCAGAUUUAGUAUAUGUGCUGCCACCAUAACGGAUAAAGACAAGAACAGAUUUUAGUAUAUGUGCUGCCAUUUGAGACCAGCCUGGCCAACAUUGUGAAACCCCGUCUCUACUGAAAACACAAAAAUUAGCUAGGCGUGGCGGUACGCCCCUGUGAUCCCAGCUACUUGAGAGGCUGAGGCAGGAGAAUCGCUUGAACCUGGGAGGCGAAGGUUGCAGUGAGCUGAGAUCGCACCACUGCACUCCAGCCUGGGUGACAGAGCAAGACUCCAUCUCAAAAUAAAUAAAUAAAUAAAUAAAUAAAUAAAUAAAUAAAUAAAUAAAUAAAAUAAAAUAAAAUAAAAUAAAAUAAAAUAAAAUAAAAUAAAAACAAAUAAAUAAAGGCAAGACCAGAAGCCAUACUCCACCCAACUGAGACAAAUGCGUAUUAAUGCAGAUUCACUGAGCACAGGCCAGUGCAUAAUUGACUGUUCUUCUAUCCCCUCCUUUUACAUAUAAAAUGUAGAUUCAGUGAACACUGAUGAAAGCCUCAGAAGAAUGGAACCACCUGCAGCUUUAUCUACCCUACCCCAACAUUUUGUUUCUUUCUUGGUUCUCCUACUGCCCACCCUUUCCCCUUGAAAUACUGGAGUCCCCAAGCCCCCUUUGAAAUAAAAAGCACAAAUCACAGAUGUCCCUGUGGGUUUUGUGUUUCUUUUCCCUGAGCCCAUCCUCAACCUUGGCAAAAUAAACCUUGA